GCCAUAGCCAAGCGGCAAGGCAAUCACUUCCAUUUCUGGUCUGCAAAACCUCGAUUCGCCAGUUCGAAUCUGGCUGGCGCCUCCA
rnacentral:tRNA from 1 species